rnacentral:rRNA from 1 species
UACGUAGGGGGCAAGCGUUGUCCGGAAUCAUUGGGCGUAAAGCGCAUGUAGGCGGUCCGGUAAGUCGGCUGUGAAAGUCCAGGGCUCAACCCUGGGAUGCCGGUCGAUACUGCCGGACUAGAGUUCGGAAGAGGCGAGUGGAAUUCCCGGUGUAGCGGUGAAAAUGCGCAGAUAUCGGGAGGAACACCAAUGGCGAAAGGC